rnacentral:pre_miRNA from 14 species
UUCUAAGAAACUACCAAAUUGAUUUCCAGAAUGGUUGUACAUGUGAAAGACCCUCGGAGUGGGGAGACCCUCACUCAUGUCUCGGGAUGACGCACCCCCCCAAGAACUCACACAAGACC